rnacentral:lncRNA from 1 species
AAGUGACAAAACAUUUUACCAGUGUGGCCUGACUAGAAGUUCAUUUGGUCAGAUAUGUCUCCAGUACUGGCCAUAAGUAGAUGUCUGGGAAAGGCAAAGAACACGACAAGAACACAAUACUUUCCCUUUUUCCUUUCUCAGCCUUUUGGGGAAAAAUGGCCUUCAAUCUUUGGCUGACCAGUGUGGUGUACACAUAAACCUCAGCAUUUUCCAUCAGUACCCAUCUCAUGUUUCAGUGCCUAUUUGUACUUUAAUUGUUUCUCGUGACUUGCUGGCUCUGCUGGGCUAGGGCUUACAUGUGGCAGAUCAAGAUCAUUUUGUGAGGCACAUGUCUGCACAGAGUGAAGGACAGCUAUUGCACUGGGAAACAUUAAACCUCUGGUUUAGCUAGACAAAACAGAUUGGAAGGGGAAAAGGCACACAUCAUGGUCUUUGAUUCUUUAAGUUAGGCACUAAUUAUAAACACAUUCCUAAAAUCUGACAGAUAGUACAUUGCUGCACAGUCAUGACAGCAAAACCCUUCAUAGCAAUUUGAAGCUCAAGGAAAUUUCCAUUGCCACAGCACUCGACCUUCUUCACAGGGAAUAGAGAGAAAACAUUUGCUUGCUCUGGGGGAGAGCAGAGCAUGCUGAUGGAGUAGGCUGCACAUCCUUGGCUGGAUGCUGCCACAAACCACUCAGGCAGUAGAGAAAGGGAUACUCCAAGGUCUAGACCAUGUCCAAGAGCCCUCAAAUCCAGGAGCUGAUGCUGCUCAGCAGCUUACUGGAGGAAAGCGCAAAGCUUCGGAAUCAAAUCCCUUGGUUCUGGAGAAUGAUCCUCUCACAGCAGCAAAUGCUUAGCUCUUUUUCUCCUGGACCUUCCUGCAAGCUCUCUGUCAG